GGCGAGCGACGCGCUCAGUCUGCGACACACAGUUGAAGCUGAAAGAUCGAUUCGAUACGGCGGUCAGUCCGCAUCCGCAUCCAAGUCAAGUCCAAGUCCAAGUCAAGCCCAAGCCCGCCUCCGUUCCCAAUUGCCCGGUGCAGUUCUCAGUGAAGUGAACGAUUUAUGGAAAUUCAUUGAUUGCAAUUCAAGCCGACAAGUGUGUGAACCAAAAACAAACAACAUUCCGAGUUACCUGAGCGGCAGUAGCAACAGCCGGAUCCAUACAAUGUGGCCCAUUAUGAUAGUUAUCAUCGCCAGCUCGUGCUGCGUAGACGGCCAGUCCUAUCUCUUCAGCCUGGAGAACGUUCUCAACGAGUCCGCCCGCCCACUGCCCUACAACCUGACGAACGCCAACGGAACCACCGAGGUGGAAUUGUUUCCCGACACCAUCUCGAACAACACGCGGAUUAUUGUCUACAAGAACACUGUCGUCGAAUCGCCCAACGAUCUGUCCCAGACGGCGAUGGAUGUGAUCACUAUUGUGUGGUAUGUGGCCACGUUCCUGGCCCUGGCCGCCUUCUUCAUGCUGAUGGCCUGUUCGGAUCGCAGAUGCCGCGACAUGAGGCGUCGUCCCGCCGGAGGUCAGUCCACCGAGGGUCUGCGGGCACCACCCACGCCCUCGCCAUCCUACAGCGAGUUUGCGCCUCCCAGCUACGAUACGGUGAUCAAGAUGCAGCACGCGGCCAAGACGAGCGUGUUUGUGAUACCGUUCAGCAACAAGGCCGGUGAACUGGGUGCUCCACCGUCGGGUACGCCGCCCCCAACUUCCAGCCCAUUGCCAGCCGCAGUCACCUGCGAUGUGAUCAUCGUCAAUGAACUGCAGAAGUCCGCUGACUAACCAACCGAUAAGCCGACGGUGGAUCCCUGGAUCCGGCCUUCCUAUUCCGACUCUGUGAUAUUUGCUGUUUAUGGCAAAGGGCCAAGUAUUAGAUGUCGUAAGAUCCCCACAAAAAGACUGACAAUGAAAGAUAUCUGUGUGCGCAUAUGCAUUCAAAUGCCAGUUCAACUGAAAGUAGAUGAUUAAGUAAUUAAGUCAAAUAAAUCAUAGCCAUAUCGUAAAUGAUUCAUCCAACGGGAUGUGUGCUCCAUGUUUUCCAAGAAGUUGGCUUUCCAGUUAAUCAGGGGCUUAAUGGGGAAUAUUCAAAGUUGGUGGUUGUCUGGCAACUUGCUUGGCAAAAGCUUUCGAGCAAACGGAUUCCGAAGUCCAAAACCAUUUCGAUUCGCUCGGCUAAAAGCUUUCGGGCGAAACGAAUUCAAAACUGAUUACUGAUAAGCGUUCUGAUGGUGACUUAAACUUGAUGCGAACGGAUUGGGAUUGACAAGGCCUGAAACUGAACCCUUCACUCAGUACCAGGUGAUCUGGAGUUGAAGUGCCUGCCGUGAAAACAUUGUUUGUUUGAACACUGCGCUGGCCAAAUAAUGGAGCAAGUUAAGCAAACUAAAUUUCAAUUUCUUUCCAGCCGCCGUUGUUUAGAUCGGGUGAAGGUAACAUCUGGCCCAAAACAGACCUGUUGUUGUUUCUGGGGCACAGCCAGCACACCGCGUAUGCGUAAUAUUUCGAUUCUUCGGCGUUUGUUUACUUUCCACGCACAUAAUUCACACAAAUUGUUUUCGAAAAUUACACAAACACCGCCGACUGAACUGAGCAAGAUGAUAGCAAGAUGUUUGUGCCAAACCAGAUCGGAUUGCAGUAAAAUCACGUUACGCCCCGCUCAAUGCGGUUCUUGCACUUGCGCCCGCUCCGCGCCGAUGGUCGUUGAUUGCCCCGUUGAUUGGUCGCCCGAGUUGAGCGCUUGAUUGUGGGUCCAUUCAUUGGGCGAUCUCCACUGCACCGCGAGAAACUUCAAAGCUGUAACAAUCUUUUAAUAACUGAAGAGCUCGCCAUUCAAUGUUUUAUCCUAAAGAUACCCUUGAUUUGUAUACUAAAUGAUGCAUUUUGUUUUUUAUAUCACUGCUGCUGUAAAACGAAUAAUCCUUACAUUAUUGUUUUCUUUUAAUGUAGAAACGCGUUUAUGGAUGUGUAAAUAUUAACCACUGAUAAGUACAAGCUAACAACAACAAUAAUCAUAACAACGCACUCUCAUUUUCUCUGCGUGCACUCAAGAGCGUUGCUGAUUGAAGCGGAUGAAGCCGAAGCCGAUCGGAGUUGGCCAAUUUUCUAAACUCUCUCACGGUCUUCAAUUGAACGGCACUUCCUCGACUUCCUCCCGUCGCCCCCGCCCUCUCACACCCGACGGCCCAAUCUUCCGCUCGCUCCGUCUCUUUCUCUUUCUCCGCUUCUAGUUGUGCAA